GGUAGUAACACGUGGAUAACCUACCUAUAAGGACUGGGAUAACUUCGGGAAACCGGAGCUAAUACCGGAUAAUAUAUUGAACCGCAUGGUUCAAUAGUGAAAGACGGUUUUGCUGUCACUUAUAGAUGGAUCCGCGCCGCAUUAGCUAGUUGGUAAGGUAACGGCUUACCAAGGCAACGAUGCGUAGCCGACCUGAGAGGGUGAUCGGCCACACUGGAACUGAGACACGGUCCAG
rnacentral:rRNA from 1 species